rnacentral:rRNA from 1 species
UACGUAGGGUGCAAGCGUUGUCCGGAAUUAUUGGGCGUAAAGAGCUCGUAGGCGGUUAGUCGCGUCUGCUGUGAAAACUCGGGGCUUAACUCCGGGCCUGCAGUGGGUACGGGCUGACUAGAGUGCGGUAGGGGAGACUGGAAUUCCUGGUGUAGCGGUGAAAUGCGCAGAUAUCAGGAGGAACACCGGUGGCGAAGGCGGCAUCCUGGACCGGUAUUGACGCUGAGGCGCGAAAGCCAGGGGAGCAAACGGG